rnacentral:rRNA from 1 species
AACGUAGGAGACAAACGUUAUCCGGAGUUACUGGGCGUAAAGGGCGUGUAGGCGGUCUGUUAAGUCUGGCGUGAAAGCUCUCGGCUAAACCGGGAGAGGUCGUUGGAUACUGGCAGACUAGAGGACGGUAGAGGCGUGUGGAAUUCCGGGUGGAGCGGUGAAAUGCGUAGAUAUCCGGAGGAACACCAGGGGCGAAAGCGGCCGACUGGUCGAGUACUGACGCUGAGGCGCGACGGCGUGGGGAGCAAACCGG